rnacentral:rRNA from 1 species
AGGGUUUGAUCAUGGCUCAGAUUGAACGCUGGCGGCAGGCUUAACACAUGCAAGUCGAGCGGUAACAGGGGAGCUUGCUCCUGCUGACGAGCGGCGGACGGGUGAGUAACGCGUAGGAAUCUGCCUAGUAGAGGGGGACAACAUGUGGAAACGCAUGCUAAUACCGCAUACGCCCUAAGGGGGAAAGGAGGGGACUUUUCGGAGCCUUCCGCUAUUAGAUGAGCCUGCGUAAGAUUAGCUAGUUGGUAGGGUAAAGGCCUACCAAGGCGACGAUCUUUAACUGGUCUGAGAGGAUGACCAGUCACACUGGGACUGAGACACGGCCCAGACUCCUACGGGAGGCAGCAGUGGGGAAUAUUGGACAAUGGGCGGAAGCCUGAUCCAGCCAUGCCGCGUGUGUGAAGAAGGCCUUAGGGUUGUAAAGCACUUUCAGGGGUGGGGAAGGGUAGCUAGUUAAUACCUAGUUAUCUUGACGUUAGCCCCAGAAGAAGCACCGGCUAACUCUGUGCCAGCCGCCGCGGUAAUAC